AAAAUCCGUCGACUUUAAAAUCGUGAGGGUUCAGUCU
rnacentral:tRNA from 1 species